AUCCUAUCCAGUUUAUUGCCUGAGUUACUGACCACAAUUGCAGUUUGAUAAAAGUUUUUUUUUUUUUUUGCAAUCUUUGCAGGUUUUCCCGACAACUUUCCCCAAAUUUAAAUAUUACUAAUAAUGGUUCAAGAAUUUGGAAAUGGAAAUAUUCUAGAUGAAGACAAUGGAAAACUACUCCCAUACUGUUGAUAAGACUGUUGCAAGGGUGUGAAACUGGAGACCCAUGGACUGGAUGCGUCACGCGCAGGCCACGCCCACCCCAGCUUUUCGAAUGGGGAAUACGUUGCAAAAAAUCAUGGCAAUGUGACAUGAUUCUACAAUCCAUUGUGAAUCUUAUGCUUUGAGCAAGCAGAGAAGUUAUUCUUAGUCUUGUCAAGUAUUCUAUCUGGAGUACAGACUACCAUGUCCCGCUAUUGGAUAAUUCUCUGGCUCUUCUGUCCUCCUAACUUUCUGUUCCACUAAGAGCUAUCUUGUGCACUUUCUUGAAGGUGUACAGCCAAACAUUUCCACUGUUGCAUCUAUUCUGUUCUGAAUAAGUUACAUCCUUCAGAUGCUAGAUUCCAGUCGUGGGAGUUGCCUCACAAGUCUUUUGGAACAAGUUCUACUACAACAUUUGCCAAAACGUGGAUUUGUUAACUGCUGGCUCUCCCACGAAUCUUCUAAAUUUCCUGCUGAUAGAAGAUGGUGCUUUUGCUAAUGCUUACAUUAUAUAUAAAAAAGCCUGUUCUAUUGGGAUACAUUGUGAGCCAAAUGUUUGAGAGAGCCUAAUAUUUUCUGUAAAUUAUUGUUUGCUUAUUUGAAUAUGAAUUUCCAGUACUCAAGAAGGACAUUACAUUUUUAGAGUAAAUAAAUAAAUGUGUUCAUUUGGCUAAACAGAUCCCUCUGUGCAGUGUUAGUGGUUGCCAAGCAGAAUUCUUGAUAUUGUUAUCUUUCUGGAAAUAAAGCUAAGAUCUUUUUACCAGCC